CAGAGCAGAGGCAAUCAGACUCAACUCUUAUUACAUCAAUGGCCAGAUUACAGUCCUCUACAGUGAUUUACCAGCACGGCAUCCCAGGACACGGGCCGCUCGCUCUCCCUGGGGUCCGUGAAUCAGCUGAGAGCAGAGGGAAGGUGCCCAUUAAAUGAAAAUGCAUUUAGCAUGUUACCUGUCUGUCAGGUACUGCAUUAGCAUACGAGUUUGCAGCAUUAAAGCCAAGAUGAAGUGAAACUUUGAAUGGUACGCCAAGAAAACAACAAACACCAAGGAUUGUAAGGUAUGACACUUCAAACGAUCUUAAAUGCACCUUUAGUGCAAAUGGUUUAGCAACAUGGACUGAAGUGAAUGUCAAGACGUUAACGCAGUAAAGAUGUGCAAUGAUGACUACAAAUGGCUGAGGUCACGACCAGUGAAACUACAUAAUAGCAUGUAUUACCUGAGCACAUCUCGUCUGUGCUGCUUUGUGUGCUUUGAGGUCUGAGGGCUCUAUUUUUGACUCCUUUUCUCUUGCCAAUUUUUCCACAGGCGAAACUAUAAAUCCAGAUGGCGUGGAGGAUCAACCCGAGCCGAUGGAAAAUUAACAGUGGAGGGCUGAAAAGCCUGAAAACAAAUAUAUUUAUGAAGGUGGUGAUGGAAUAAGAACUUCACACCUACAGUACCUUCCACACAUGGCUUCACACACUGGGAAGGGUAGAGAAAGCCCAGAUCAACGCAAAUGUAAAUGUGCCAUUUUAGUAUGUUAUAUUAUGUAAUUUUAUUGUCUAAUAAUGUUCUCCACUGUGAUAUUUCUCCCUGUUUCAUAAUAAACAUUGAACAAGGUAUCCAAACUGCA